AAACUGAAGAGUUUGAUCAUGGCUCAGAUUGAACGCUGGCGGUAUGCUUAACACAUGCAAGUCGAACGGUAACAGCAGGAGCUUGCUUCUGGCUGACGAGUGGCGGACGGGUGCGUAAUGCAUAGGAAUCUGCCUAGUAGUGGGGGACAACUCGAGGAAACUCGUGCUAAUACCGCAUAAGCCCUACGGGGGAAAACGGGGGAUCUUCGGACCUCGUGCUAUUAGAUGAGCCUAUGUUAGAUUAGCUUGUUGGUGAGGUAAUGGCUCACCAAGGCGACGAUCUAUAGCUGGUCUGAGAGGAUGAUCAGCCACACUGGGACUGAGACACGGCCCAGACUCCUACGGGAGGCAGCAGUGGGGAAUAUUGGACAAUGGGCGAAAGCCUGAUCCAGCAAUACCGCGUGUGUGAAGAAGGCCUGAGGGUUGUAAAGCACUUUCAAUUGGGAGGAAUACCUAGUGGUUAAUAGCCAUUAGAUUGACAUUACCUUUAGAAGAAGCACCGGCUAACUCCGUGCCAGCAGCCGCGGUAAUACGGAGGGUGCAAGCGUUAAUCGGAAUUACUGGGCGUAAAGCGUUCGUAGGCGGUUUGUUAAGUUAGAUGUGAAAGCCCCGAGCUUAACUUGGGAACGGCAUUUAAAACUGGCAGACUAGAGUUUGGGAGAGGGAAGUGGAAUUUCAGGUGUAGCAGUGAAAUGCGUAGAGAUCUGAAGGAACACCAGUGGCGAAGGCGGCUUCCUGGACUAAAACUGACGCUGAGGAACGAAAGCAUGGGUAGCAAACGGGAUUAGAUACCCCGGUAGUCCAUGCCGUAAACGAUGUCAACUAACUGUUGGGUACUUCGGUACUUAGUGGUGGAGCUAACGUAUUAAGUUGACCGCCUGGGGAGUACGGCCGCAAGGCUAAAACUCAAAUGAAUUGACGGGGGCCCGCACAAGCGGUGGAGCAUGUGGUUUAAUUCGAUGCAACGCGAAGAACCUUACCACCCCUUGACAUCCAGAGAAUCUGUUAGAGAUAAUUGAGUGCCUUCGGGAACUCUGUGACAGGUGCUGCAUGGCUGUCGUCAGCUCGUGUCGUGAGAUGUUGGGUUAAGUCCCGUAACGAGCGCAACCCUUAUCCUUAGUUGCCAGCACAUAAUGGUGGGAACUCUAGGGAGACUGCCGGUGAUAAACCGGAGGAAGGUGGGGACGACGUCAAGUCAUCAUGGCCCUUAUGGGGUGGGCUACACACGUGCUACAAUGGCCAGUACAGAGGGCUGCGAACUUGCGAGAGUAAGCAAAUCCCAGAAAGCUGGUCUUAGUCCGGAUUGGAGUCUGCAACUCGACUCCAUGAAGUUGGAAUCGCUAGUAAUCGCGAAUCAGAACGUCGCGGUGAAUACGUUCCCGGGCCUUGUACACACCGCCCGUCACACCAUGGGAGUGGGUUGCAAAAGAAGUGGGUAGACUAACCUUCGGGAGGUCGCUCACCACUUUGUGAUUCAUGACUGGGGUGAAGUCGUAACAAGGUAGCCCUAGGGGAACCUGGGGCUGGAUCACCUCCUUA
rnacentral:rRNA from 1 species